rnacentral:rRNA from 1 species
ACGAAGGUGGCUAGCGUUGCUCGGAUUUACUGGGCAUAAAGCGCGCGUAGGUGGUCUUGUAAGCGGGGGAUGAAAGCCCAUGGCUCACCCAUGGAACUGUCCCCCGGACUGCAAGGCUCGAGGAAGGAAGGGGAGAAUGGAAUUCCCGGUGUAGCGGUGAAAUGCGUAGAUAUCGGGAGGAACGCCGGUGGCGAAAGCGAUUCUCUGGUCCUUUCCUGACACUGAGGCGCGAAAGCUAGGGGAGCAAACAGGA